GCGUGAAUGGUUUAGUGGUAAAAUUCUCCGUUGCCAUCGGGGAGCCCUGGGUUCGAUUCCCAGAUUACGCA
rnacentral:tRNA from 1 species